rnacentral:rRNA from 1 species
CCUACGGGUGGCAGCAGUCGAGAAUCAUUCACAAUGGGGGAAACCCUGAUGGGGCGACGCCGCGUGGGGGAAUGAAGGUCUGCGGAUUGUAAACCCCUGUCAUGUGGGAGCAAAGUAAAAAGAUAGUACCACAAGAGGAAGAGACGGCGAACGCUGUGCCAGCAGCCGCGGUAAUACAGAGGUCGCAAGCGUUGUUCGGAAUCACUGGGCGGAAAGCGUGCGGAGGCUGUUUCGUAAGGCGUGUGUGAAAGGCGCGGGCUCAACCCGCGGACGGCACAUGAUACUGCGAGACUAGAGUAAUGUAGGGGGAACCGGAAUUCUCGGUGUAGCCGU